rnacentral:tRNA from 1 species
GGGGAUGUGGCUCAGUGAUAGAGUGCUUGCUUAGUUUGCACAAGGCCCUGGGUUUAAUCCCCAGCACUUCCA